rnacentral:tRNA from 1 species
GAAAUAUAUAAUUAAAAGCUUCUAACUUUUUUAAAAAUGAUUAAAAUUCAUUUAUAUUUCU